UACGGCAUUUGCAAUAUUACAGCUGAAUCCCAGAUCAAGAAUGAAGCUUUCUUGGCCAAUCGCGCUUUUCUACACAUUUCUUUGCUUUUUCGCAUCUGGGUCAUUUUCUUCUAUUGAGAAUUUUCAUCAACCGUUUCCUAUUAUAGAGCCUGAUCCAGGUCACACAAAACUUCGCCUUUCAAGAGAAGGAUUGGAGGCAAUUGAGAAGAUAACUACACCCAUUGCAGCUGUUGCUGUAAUUGGUCCAUAUCGUUCGGGAAAAUCAUUUACUCUCAAUCAGCUCCUUUCCCUGUCUUGUGAUGAAGGUUUUGGUGUUGGUCAUAUGCGUGAUACAAAGACAAAAGGUAUAUGGGUUUGGGGUACUCCAGUAGAGAUGGAUAUCAAUGGAGUAAAAACUUCUGUUUUUUACCUUGACACAGAAGGUUUUGAAAGCAUUGGAAAAUCUAAUGUAUACGAUGACCGGAUUUUUGCCCUUGCAGCUGUUAUGAGUUCUGUGCUUAUAUAUAAUCUCCCUGAGACGAUACGUGAAGCUGAUAUAUCCCGGCUGUCAUUCGCAGUUGAACUUGCGGAGGAGUUCUAUGGAAGAGUAAAGGGGCAAGAUGUUGCGUUUGAACCUGCAAAGCUACUAUGGCUCAUCCAACGUGAUUUUCUGCAAGGAAAAUCUGUGCAAGAAAUGGUUGAUGAAGCUCUAAGACGUGUCCCUAAUAGCAACGGUGAUAAAAAUAUUGAUCAGGUGAAUCAGAUUCGAGAUUCUUUAGCCAUAAUGGGUGAUAAUAGCACAGCGUUCAGCUUACCACAACCCCAUCUUCAGCGCACAAAGCUUUGUGACAUGAAGGACGCUGAGCUUG
rnacentral:misc_RNA from 1 species